rnacentral:rRNA from 1 species
AGAGUUUGAUCCUGGCUCAGAACGAACGCUGGCGGCAGGCUUAACACAUGCAAGUCGAACGAUAUAGUGGCAGACGGGUGAGUAACGCGUGGAAACGUGCCUCUCACUACGGAAUAGCUUUUGGAAACGAAAGGUAAUACCGUAUACGCCCUCCGGGGGAAAGAUUUAUCGGUGAAAGAUCGGUCCGCGUUAGAUUAGCUAGUUGGUGGGGUAAUGGCUCACCAAGGCGACGAUCAAUAGCUGGUCUGAGAGGAUGAUCAGCCACACUGGGACUGAGACACGGCCCAGACUCCUACGGGAGGCAGCAGUGGGGAAUAUUGGACAAUGGGCGCAAGCCUGAUCCAGCCAUGCCGCGUGUGUGAUGAAGGCCCUAGGGUUGUAAAGCACUUUCAACGGUGAAGAUAAUGACGGUAACCGUAGAAGAAGCUCCGGCUAACUUCGUGCCAGCAGCCGCGGUAGUACGAAGGGAGCUAGCGUUGUUCGGAAUUACUGGGCGUAAAGCGCGCGUAGGCGGGUUAUUAAGUUAGGUGUGAAAUCCCAGGGCUCAACCCUGGAACUGCACUUAAUACUGGUAACCUAGAGUUCGAGAGAGGUGAGUGGAAUUCCGAGUGUAGAGGUGAAAUUCGUAGAUAUUUGGAGGAACACCAGUGGCGAAGGCGGCUCACUGGCUCGAUACUGACGCUGAGGUGCGAAGGUGUGGGGAGCAAACAGGAUUAGAUACCCUGGUAGUCCACACCGUAAACGAUGAAUGCCAGUCGUCGGGUAGCAUGCUGCUCGGUGACACACCUAACGGAUUAAGCAUUCCGCCUGGGGAGUACGGUCGCAAGAUUAAAACUCAAAGGAAUUGACGGGGGCCCACACAAGCGGUGGAGCACGUGGUUUAAUUCGAAGCAACGCGCAGAACCUUACCAACCCUUGACAUGUGUAUCGAGAUUUCUGGAGACAGAUUUCGUCAGUUCGGCUGGAUAUAACACAGGUGCUGCAUGGCUGUCGUCAGCUCGUGUCGUGAGAUGUUCGGUUAAGUCCGGCAACGAGCGCAACCCACAUCCUUAGUUGCCAGUAGUUCGGCUGGGCACUCUAGGGAAACUGCCCGUGAUAAGCGGGAGGAAGGUGUGGAUGACGUCAAGUCCUCAUGGCCCUUACGGGUUGGGCUACACACGUGCUACAAUGGCAUCUACAGUGAGUUAAUCUCCAAAAGAUGUCUCAGUUCGGAUUGGGGUCUGCAACUCGACCCCAUGAAGUCGGAAUCGCUAGUAAUCGCGUAACAGCAUGACGCGGUGAAUACGUUCCCGGGCCUUGUACACACCGCCCGUCACACCAUGGGAGUUGGGUCCACCCGAAGGCCGUGCGCCAACCUUUUAGGAGGCAGCUAGCCACGGUGGGAUCAGCGACUGGGGUGAAGUCGUAACAAGGUAGCCGUAGGGGAACCUGCGGCUGGAUCACCUCCUU